AGGGACAUAGCUCAAUUGGUAGAGCAUCCGUCUCCAAAGCGGAGGGUUGGGGGUUCAAGUCCCUCUGUCCCUG
rnacentral:tRNA from 1 species